UUUUUCUUUUAUUUCAGUAGAUGUGCUGCCUGUUUAAUUCGCUUUUCUUGUCGGUAUUUAAGCCUGCAACUAUUUUAUUUUAACGGAAAAAUAAUUGAAUUGAACAUGGAGUGCAACUGCAGAGACAUUCUUAUGUAAAUUAAAAAGAGAGAUACCCUCAUAUUUCAUUAUAUGUGAAAAAAGAAUAAGAGAAGAAAGCAAAACUCUCUAUGUGAUUCAUUCAACUAUACAUAAAGUAAAUAGAGUUGUGACGAAAAAGAUGUUUUUCAUUGUAAAAACAUUAAGGUUUCGUAUUCCAAUCAUUGCAGUAGUUGGAUCGACAAACGGCCGUGAUACGGUCUAGCUGAGUUGGAGAAUGAGUAAUUAGAUAUUUGUUGUUGGAGUUUGGAGAAUUACCUGGAAAAUAGAAGGUUUUUAACGAUUCGGGAGGAUGUGGAUUGUGUCCCUAAAUUCAAGGCUUAGAAGGUGGAUAGUAGAGAUCAAUGGCUUAAUGUCAUUGCGCUAAGGAUAGGCAAACAUAUGGUAUAGGCGACUCGUGUCUAUCAGCUCGCUUGGGGUACCUUGUAAUGCAGAUCAUUAUCGGGUCGCAUAUAAUUACAUUGCCCUACCUCGUAAUCUUUCCUAUGAAGGAGACAGAUAGUAAUCAUGCUUUUUCAGUUAAUUAUAGUUAAGGUUACAUGCUCGCGUCCUUGCUGUUUGAUGAUUCACUAGGAGUGUAUAAAAAUAAACCCUGGCAUCCUGUAGUACCUAUGAUUUUAAAUUUAUCGGAUGCUCUUGUUAUUUAA